UACAGAGGUCCCAAGCGUUGUUCGGAUUCAUUGGGCGUAAAGGGUGCGUAGGCGGCCGGGUAAGUCUGCUGUGAAAUCCCGCAGCUCAACUGCGGAACUGCAUUGGAUACUAUCCGGCUAGAGGAAUGGAGGGGAGACUGGAAUUCUCGGUGUAGCAGUGAAAUGCGUAGAUAUCGGAAGGAACAUCAGUGGCGAAGGCGACUUCCUGGACCAAUACUGACGCUCAGGUGCGAAAGCGUGGGGAGCAAACAGG
rnacentral:rRNA from 1 species